GGGUUGUGAGGUUAAGCGACUAAGCGUACACGGUGGAUGCCCUGGCAGUCAGAGGCGAUGAAGGACGUGCUAAUCUGCGAUAAGCGUCGGUAAGGUGAUAUGAACCGUUAUAACCGGCGAUUUCCGAAUGGGGAAACCCAGUGUGUUUCGACACACUAUCAUUAACUGAAUCCAUAGGUUAAUGAGGCGAACCGGGGGAACUGAAACAUCUAAGUACCCCGAGGAAAAGAAAUCAACCGAGAUUCCCCCAGUAGCGGCGAGCGAACGGGGAGCAGCCCAGAGCCUGAAUCAGUGUGUGUGUUAGUGGAAGCGUCUGGAAAGGCGCGCGAUACAGGGUGACAGCCCCGUACACAAAAAUGCACAUGCUGUGAGCUCGAUGAGUAGGGCGGGACACGUGGUAUCCUGUCUGAAUAUGGGGGGACCAUCCUCCAAGGCUAAAUACUCCUGACUGACCGAUAGUGAACCAGUACCGUGAGGGAAAGGCGAAAAGAACCCCGGCGAGGGGAGUGAAAAAGAACCUGAAACCGUGUACGUACAAGCAGUGGGAGCACGCUUAGGCGUGUGACUGCGUACCUUUUGUAUAAUGGGUCAGCGACUUAUAUUCUGUAGCAAGGUUAACCGAAUAGGGGAGCCGAAGGGAAACCGAGUCUUAACUGGGCGUUAAGUUGCAGGGUAUAGACCCGAAACCCGGUGAUCUAGCCAUGGGCAGGUUGAAGGUUGGGUAACACUAACUGGAGGACCGAACCGACUAAUGUUGAAAAAUUAGCGGAUGACUUGUGGCUGGGGGUGAAAGGCCAAUCAAACCGGGAGAUAGCUGGUUCUCCCCGAAAGCUAUUUAGGUAGCGCCUCGUGAAUUCAUCUCCGGGGGUAGAGCACUGUUUCGGCAAGGGGGUCAUCCCGACUUACCAACCCGAUGCAAACUGCGAAUACCGGAGAAUGUUAUCACGGGAGACACACGGCGGGUGCUAACGUCCGUCGUGAAGAGGGAAACAACCCAGACCGCCAGCUAAGGUCCCAAAGUCAUGGUUAAGUGGGAAACGAUGUGGGAAGGCCCAGACAGCCAGGAUGUUGGCUUAGAAGCAGCCAUCAUUUAAAGAAAGCGUAAUAGCUCACUGGUCGAGUCGGCCUGCGCGGAAGAUGUAACGGGGCUAAACCAUGCACCGAAGCUGCGGCAGCGACNNNNNNNNNNNNNNNNNNNNNNNNNNNNNNNNNNNNNNNNNNNNNNNNNNAUGCUGGAGGUAUCAGAAGUGCGAAUGCUGACAUAAGUAACGAUAAAGCGGGUGAAAAGCCCGCUCGCCGGAAGACCAAGGGUUCCUGUCCAACGUUAAUCGGGGCAGGGUGAGUCGACCCCUAAGGCGAGGCCGAAAGGCGUAGUCGAUGGGAAACAGGUUAAUAUUCCUGUACUUGGUGUUACUGCGAAGGGGGGACGGAGAAGGCUAUGUUGGCCGGGCGACGGUUGUCCCGGUUUAAGCGUGUAGGCUGGUUUUCCAGGCAAAUCCGGAAAAUCAAGGCUGAGGCGUGAUGACGAGGCACUACGGUGCUGAAGCAACAAAUGCCCUGCUUCCAGGAAAAGCCUCUAAGCAUCAGGUAACAUCAAAUCGUACCCCAAACCGACACAGGUGGUCAGGUAGAGAAUACCAAGGCGCUUGAGAGAACUCGGGUGAAGGAACUAGGCAAAAUGGUGCCGUAACUUCGGGAGAAGGCACGCUGAUAUGUAGGUGAAGCGACUUGCUCGUGGAGCUGAAAUCAGUCGAAGAUACCAGCUGGCUGCAACUGUUUAUUAAAAACACAGCACUGUGCAAACACGAAAGUGGACGUAUACGGUGUGACGCCUGCCCGGUGCCGGAAGGUUAAUUGAUGGGGUCAGCGCAAGCGAAGCUCUUGAUCGAAGCCCCGGUAAACGGCGGCCGUAACUAUAACGGUCCUAAGGUAGCGAAAUUCCUUGUCGGGUAAGUUCCGACCUGCACGAAUGGCGUAAUGAUGGCCAGGCUGUCUCCACCCGAGACUCAGUGAAAUUGAACUCGCUGUGAAGAUGCAGUGUACCCGCGGCAAGACGGAAAGACCCCGUGAACCUUUACUAUAGCUUGACACUGAACAUUGAGCCUUGAUGUGUAGGAUAGGUGGGAGGCUUAGAAGUGUGGACGCCAGUCUGCAUGGAGCCGACCUUGAAAUACCACCCUUUAAUGUUUGAUGUUCUAACGUUGACCCGUAAUCCGGGUUGCGGACAGUGUCUGGUGGGUAGUUUGACUGGGGCGGUCUCCUCCUAAAGAGUAACGGAGGAGCACGAAGGUUGGCUAAUCCUGGUCGGACAUCAGGAGGUUAGUGCAAUGGCAUAAGCCAGCUUGACUGCGAGCGUGACGGCGCGAGCAGGUGCGAAAGCAGGUCAUAGUGAUCCGGUGGUUCUGAAUGGAAGGGCCAUCGCUCAACGGAUAAAAGGUACUCCGGGGAUAACAGGCUGAUACCGCCCAAGAGUUCAUAUCGACGGCGGUGUUUGGCACCUCGAUGUCGGCUCAUCACAUCCUGGGGCUGAAGUAGGUCCCAAGGGUAUGGCUGUUCGCCAUUUAAAGUGGUACGCGAGCUGGGUUUAGAACGUCGUGAGACAGUUCGGUCCCUAUCUGCCGUGGGCGCUGGAGAACUGAGGGGGGCUGCUCCUAGUACGAGAGGACCGGAGUGGACGCAUCACUGGUGUUCGGGUUGUCAUGCCAAUGGCACUGCCCGGUAGCUAAAUGCGGAAGAGAUAAGUGCUGAAAGCAUCUAAGCACGAAACUUGCCCCGAGAUGAGUUCUCCCUGAC
rnacentral:rRNA from 1 species